rnacentral:rRNA from 1 species
AUUGAACGCUGGCGGCAGGCCUAACACAUGCAAGUCGAGCGAGCGGCGGACGGGUGAGUAAUGUAUGGGGACUGCCCGAUAGCGGGGGAUAACUACUGGAAACGGUAGCUAAUACCGCAUACUAUCGGAUAACCCAUAUGGGAGUAGCUAGUAGGUGGGGUAAUGGCUCACCUAGGCGACGAUCCCUAGCUGGUCUGCGAGGAUGAUCAGCAACACUGGGACUGAGACACGGCCAAGACUCCAACGGAGGCAGAAGUGGGGAAUAUUGCACAAUGGGCGCAGGCCUGAGACAGCCAUGCGGCGGGUAUGAAGAAGGCCCUAGGGUGGUAAAGUACGUUCAGUCGGGAGGCGUUACCGACAGAAGAAGCAACGGCUAACUCCGUGCCAGCAGCCGCGGUAAUUC